UUUAUACGUCGAAUUUUGGUCGCGUCGAAUGCAAUUAAGACAAUAGAUAAUGAGAUGAUAAAGCUCAUUAAGCUUCAUUAUCUAUUGUUUGAAUUGCAUUCGACGCGACCGAAAUUCAACGUAUAAA
rnacentral:miRNA from 1 species